AUGGGAUUCGACGGGCUGGUCGUCGUGUCCGACCCUUACCUGCAGCGCCGCUUCACGCAGGCGGACCUCCGCGCGCUCCAGGCACAGUACGCGGGGCUGCGGGACACGGCGCCCACCGGCAGGCUGCGGCUGCGGGACCUCCCCGCCGCGCUGACCGGCCUGGGGAGCCCCACCGCUAUGGCCGCCGGUAAAGGGGAAGCGCUGCGCGGGGACGCCGGGAAAGAGAACAGCUCGCCGCCCGAGCGGGCGCUCACGGACGAGGAGUGGUCCUCCGUGCUCACGGCUGUCUCCCGCGCCGACGAGAAACCGCAGCUCGACGUCAACUUUGAGCUCUUCCUGCGCGUCUACGCCGAGAUGCAGCUGCGGCUCAAGGGCGGGAAGAAGGCGCGCGAGCGCGACGGCGGCCAAGGCAUUAAGCGCUCCUCCUCCUCGUCUGCCGCCUUCCUCACGGCGUCCACCACCACGCUGCUGCACACCAUCAGCGAAUCUGAGAAGGCUUCCUACGUGGGCCACAUCAAUGCCUACCUCGCCGAGGAUCCGUUCCUCAAGAACGCGCUGCCCGUCGAUCCGGCCACCAACCAGCUCUUCCACCUCACUAAAGACGGCGUGUUGCUAUGUAAGCUCAUCAACUUGGCCGUUCCGGGGACCAUCGACGAGCGUGCUAUCAACACCAAGAGGCUGCUUAACUUGUGGGAGAAAAACGAGAACCACACCCUCUGUCUCAACUCUGCCAAGGCCAUCGGCUGCACUGUUGUCAAUAUCGGCACGCAGGAUCUCGCAGAGGGGAGGCCUCAUCUUAUCCUAGGGCUGAUAUCUCAGAUUAUCAAGAUACAACUAUUGGCAGAUGUAAACCUGAAGAGCACACCUCAGUUGGUCGAAUUGGUUCAAGACAGCCAGGAGAUGGAGGAGCUUAUGAGCCUUUCUCCUGAAAAAAUACUACUAAGGUGGAUGAACUUUCAGCUGAAGAAAGGAGGUUUCCAGAGAACAGUAACAAAUUUUUCAUCGGAUAUAAAAGACAGUGAGGCAUAUGCUUGCUUGUUAAAUGUCCUGGCUCCAGAAUGCAGUGCUAAACCAUCGCCAAUGUCAGUAAAAGAUCUUCUUCAUAGAGCAAGAUUAGUUCUUGAGCAUGCAGAUAGGAUGGGCUGCAAAAGAUAUCUGGCCCCGAAAGACAUAGUUGAUGGUUUACAAAAUCUAAAUCUCGCCUUUGUGGCUCAUAUUUUUCAAAAAAGGAAUGGGUUGUCGAAACAAAUGAAGCAAGUUUCGUUUGUGGAUGGAGUAUCUGAUGAUGCUCAAGUUUCAAGGGAAGAGAGGUCAUUUAGGCUAUGGAUUAACAGCCUUGGAAUUUCUACAUAUAUAAACAAUGUAUUCGAAGAUCUUAGAAAUGGAUGGGUGCUCCUUGAGGUCAUGGAUAAGGUUGCUCCUGGUUCAGUUAAUUGGAAGUUUGCAAACCGACCCCCAAUAAAACUUCCAUUCAGAAAAGUUGAAAACUGUAAUCAACUUCUGAAGAUAGGAAAGGAAAUAAAAUUUUCCUUGGUGAAUAUUGCUGGUCAUGAUAUUGUGCAAGGAAACAAGAAAUUGAUAUUAGCUUUUCUCUGGCAAUUGAUGCGGUACAACAUACUACAACUGUUGAAGAAUCUUAGAUUUCAUUCGAAUGGGAAGGAGAUCACAGAUAAUGACAUACUAUUAUGGGCUAACAAAAAGGUUAAGGAUUCUGGAAGACAGUCUCAAAUGGGAAGUUUCAAGGAUAGAAGCCUUUCAAGUGGCAUAUUUUUUGUCAACUUACUAAGUGCUGUGGAGCCUCGCGUUGUGAAUUGGAGCCUUGUAACCAAAGGAGAAAAAGAUGAAGAAAAACAAAUGAAUGCUUCCUACAUCAUCUCUGUGGCUAGAAAGCUUGGUUGCUCCAUCUUCUUGCUGCCAGAGGAUAUAACGGAGGUCAACCAGAAGAUGAUGCUGACUUUGACAGCAAGCAUCAUGUAUUGGCAUUUGAAAAGGCCAACAUCAUAUUCACUGGACCCUGACAACAGUAGUUUGUGUGAGACAAGUUCUAUCUCAACUUCAGAUGACUCCGCAUCUGAAUCAUCAAUUGAUGAUAGCGGAACUAGAUAG
rnacentral:rRNA from 1 species